rnacentral:rRNA from 1 species
AUGAUGCCCACCUUGUCUACCUUUCUCAGGCUUUUGACCGGACGACGGCCUUGUAGCAGCAGCAGCAGCGUGAGGCCAGAGAUCAAGAAUAUGAGCAGGGAAAGUAGCAGCAGAGCAGCAGCGGCCGGCCGGGGGAAAAGAGAGCAGCAGUGUGCGGCAGCGCAGCGGAGCGAUCAAGAAAAAAAGAGCAGCAGUGUGCGGCAGCGCAGCGGAGCGAUCAGGAAAAAGAGAGCGCCAAGAGCAGUCCCUUUGGAGGUAUUUAUAGGAGGGAGCAACAGAGGGAUGCACCCACGUUCUCUAGUUCGUGGAUUAGCAUCUGCCGCUGAAGCACAGAUCUUACGUUGGAAGAGUGCAAAUCCUUUCUUCUUCAUCAAGGGCUGGCUUCGCUCGGGCUAUCGCCUCCGUGAGAUGGCGCAGAAAUCGCGCACGGUUCCCUCACAUCGACUAUCCCUUGUCGAGCUAGCCAAGCAACAGAAACUAUAUGAACCUAGCUCCGAUGACCAAGACUGCCCCAUAGUUAAAGCUAUAAGUAUACCAAAGGGUGAACUCGACAACGGUCCUCGCGAUGGAGACUUAUAUGAAGAAUUUAUCCCACCAGAACAUGCACUAGACCCCUCCCUUUGCCAAUUCCCUGACUUCUUACCGGACCUAUUAUCCGCACAUGAUCAGCUUGCCAAGAACAAUGGCGGCCACGUGACUUUCCAGGUCUGGUGUGACUAUUUUCACAACCGGCGAGACCAUUUCGUUCCUUUCGCGUCUCUUCGUGAGGUCCGCUUCACCCAUCCUGUAGGACCCUGCUACCGGAUUAGGGGAUGGCCCAUCCAUUUCAUUAUCGGCUGGAUGGGGGUUUAUCUGAAGAAUGUAUUUGGUAAACGAGCAAAAGUGAGCAAAUUUCCAACUCCUAAGCUUUGUCCAGGGAAAUUAUCUAUGGUGGGGACUAUGUUUAGGAUUCCACACGAUUUUAGCCCUGAAAAGGCGCACGAUUUCUUCGAGAAACACAAGAGUAUUGUGUGGUACCCCUCAAAUUUCUCUGACUUGGCUAGCACUCGUUGGCUGCAAAAAGCAUUCACCAUUUCCAUCCAUCGAGGGAUGCUACCGUGGAGAAGGUCCGAUUAUGAUGACGACUUGUGCAUUGUUGAGCCGUAUCAUCCCGACCGGGUGGCUCGACAAUUCAAAUUGGAUCAGCAAGUACCAUAUACUCCAUUGCGCAGUUUAUAUAUAAUAGAUGACAUUAGUGUUGCUUAUGCACACUGGUGGCAUUUAUUGCACUCGAAUCCGAAACAGCCUCACUACAUUCCCAACAAAGAUUUUAUGGGCAAUUCCUCAGUGGCAUGGACAAACUGGUGGACCAUUUUCACCCAACCUUUCACCAGCGUUCUAGGCCAGCUUCGUCAAGGUAACAUGCACGGGCAAGAUUCCUAUGAAGAAAGGCUUGCCAAAUAUGUGAAUAAUGGGAAGAAACAUAUUUUUUCUCGCAAGAUUUUGGAAGGGGAUCUUGUCGUAGUAAAGAGGGUGUCUGAUGAACGGCAAGAGGAAUAUCUUGCAGCUAUUGAGGUGAGAGAAAUGCCGACAGUGAAUCAUUGGAGGGACAUCUUAAGAGGUUACCACUUGGAUAACAAUGCCCCGCCACCUUGGUUGCAACAGAAGCGGAAAAAUAAUCCAAAUGAUGUUGCUGCAAGUUCCUCUUCCAAUCCCCGGCCACUUAUAAGCGUGACAGUAUCAGGCACACGUUUAAAUGCAAGGAAGGAGGGUACUGACAUUUUGGUUGAUAGGAACUCAGAGGAACCUAGUCCAAAUGCAACAAUCUCUUCCGGUGGGGAGGAAAGACCUGCUGUAAAAAGGAAGAUUGAAAUUUCUCUUGGAGAAAGCCCAUGUAAUCUUGACGAGUUGGUUGAUUUUAUGCAUGAACUUGAUGAUACA